rnacentral:rRNA from 1 species
AGAACGAACGCUGGCGGCAUGCCUAAUACAUGCAAGUCGAACGAACUCUUCGGAGUUAGUGGCGCACGGGUGCGUAACGCGUGGGAAUCUGCCCUUGGGUUCGGAAUAACAGUUGGAAACGACUGCUAAUACCGGAUGAUGACGAAAGUCCAAAGAUUUAUCGCCCAGGGAUGAGCCCGCGUAGGAUUAGCUAGUUGGUGAGGUAAAGGCUCACCAAGGCGACGAUCCUUAGCUGGUCUGAGAGGAUGAUCAGCCACACUGGGACUGAGACACGGCCCAGACUCCGUACGGGAGCAGCAGGUAGGGAAUAGUUGGACAAGUGGGCGC